GGAAAGUUGCAACCAGUGAGAAAUCUCCUCCUUAACAGAGGGAGCCUUCCAUGAAACUGCACUGGUAACUUGGGCUAAAAAACGAGGUACAGGUGUAUCAACAGUUACCAGAGGAGCAAGAGAUUAUUUCUGCUGUUCCACAAUCCAUCCCUAACCUGCACUGAAAUUGGUAUUGAACAUCUCCUGUGUCUUUUCUCUUCCCCGGGCCCGGGACGUGACACCAGGAGGAAGAGCUGCCCACACAGAAUCAGACACAUCUCCGUCCUUCCUUCCAGGGGGAUUCACCCCUGUGGCCACCUGAUUCCGCUCUGCGGCAUACAUUCUAACUCCGUAAUGGAAGUAAAGGGAAAACCAGGAACAGAAUCAGAUGGAACAAGGUCUCACCAUGUUACUACAUUACGUUUUCUUUCUUAAAAAAAAAAAAGAAAAAAGAAAAAAGAAAGAAAUGUAUUGUCUUUGAAGAAGUGGCGGAGAAAUGCUAUGCUCUGCCGACAGAAGGAGAAUCUAGCUUCUUAGGUGUUUUUCUAAAUAAGAGUGCUUAGAUGCUUCCUACUCCUUUCUUCUUCCUCAGAAGCUUCUUGAGUCUUCCUGAUAAAAAGCCCAGUGAUCCGGAUAUCUCCCACUUUGGUGGUUCUUGGUCAUCUCAGUGAUAUGUUUUUGGUUGUGUUCAUGAGAAAUUUGUAGUUUCUAACUCACUGCACACACUUUGUACUGGAAUAAAAGAGAAAUACUUAGAGA